rnacentral:lncRNA from 1 species
GCAUUUGAGGGUAAGAUUUUGUGGAGUGUGCUAUAAAUGGUUUGAAAGUAUCAGGUACGGAUUCCGUACUCUUUCAGCGAUACCUUUGUUAAAUUUGAUUUGUUCGUUUGUUUCCUUAUUUCGAAUUCUAUUAUGAUUUCACAUAAUUGUUUCUUGUGAAAUAAAUAUAUUAGUUUCAUUUUAGAGUUGAUACGUAUGACUCGUAUUUGUACUCUUUGAAUUAGGUUAUCAUGUUUAGUAUUAUUUAUUUUGAUAAUUGUAGAGCGGUACAUGUUGCUACCUUCCUUUUGAAACCUUGUGACUAUAAUUUGAUUCGGUUCAACAUGUACAUAUAGAACCCUUUUGUUGGUAUUAUGUCGCAUGUGUUGUGACAUGGUAUUUUUGUUAGAAUAUACCGUAGGGUAUACUUGAGCUAUAACCACCUGUGGGGGUACCACAGGCAUGUCGUCUUGGCACGAGAGACAUGACACUUUCCGUGGCGGUGUGAUUAGUCCACGACUUCUCCAUUUUGGGAUCUGGAGUAAAUGGGCCAUUUGGUGUUUUGUUGUGGGAGGCGUAUGGGUUAACCCUAGUUUUCUGUUUUGCGGAUUGGUGAUGUUGUGCCAAACACACCUAUCCGAUUUGCAUACAUUUGGAUUCGCGGUCCAAUGUGUGAUUUGUCUGUGUGGCAUUCUUUUGGUUGCCUGUGUGGUAUUAUAUAUUCUGACUUGCCUGUGUGGCAUUGUUUUGAUGUUCCUGUGUGGCAUUAUUUUGGUUGCCUAUGUGGCAUCAUUUGAUUUGCCUGUGUGGUAUUAUUUUGACUUGCCUGUGUGGUAAGGUAUAUUAUGAGCUCAUUCGGUAUGAAAUAACUCCAGCCAUUUAUUUCAGCCUAUUAUUUUAUUGGAUUAGUUUUGUUGGUUUCUGUUCAGUUCAAGUCAUUGAGUUAGUUACUUCAGUUCAUUAUUUCUUUAUUCUUUUAUUGGUUUCGUCAAUUACGUUGAUUCAGAUAUAUUCCAUUCAGAUCUUUGGAUAUUAUCUUUUCGUUCGUAUUUGCACUUGAGACUUUGUUCAGUAUUUUGUCUCAGUUGUUUUCGUAUAUCAGUUGUAUAUCUGUAUCCGUACUGGGCAAUUGGCUCAUGCUGUGUUUUUCUUCCGGCAGGUUUGCAGGGGUGAUUCAGGGCUAGUAUGAUGAGAGUUUUGCCUUUGACCAUUUAGGUUGACUCGAAUUUUAAGUUUUGAUUAUUUUGACUUAGUUUGGAGAAUUGUACUUAUUACUUUACUAAUGGAUCACCACUAUUAAUAUUUUGAAGUUGUUAGUGCUCUGUUUAUUUAAUUUGAGGUUUGUUGUGCUUUGCACGUGACCUCCCUUUCCUUUUCGGGAAGGGGGUGUUACAGAGAUGGUAUCAAAGCUUAGGUUCUUUCUUGUAGAAAACCUAUUUAGGUUUGACCUGUGAGUUGUGGGUAAAUCACUGGGUAGACGUAGGAGUUCGACUUGAUUUUAUUCUCUGUUUGGUUGGUCUUUAUUUUGACGACGUGUCCCCCACUUUUCGAGUUGUAGUUGAUUUGAGAAAGAUGAGAUAAUUUGUUAAGAUUAUCAUUGUUAUACAUUGGAGCAAUAAUAUAAGUUAAGGAUUGUGAUUGGAUAUCAUUAAGGAGAAUAAAUAUGUGAUUGUGGUUGGAUAUUUUGUACAGUUAAGAAAUGAUUAUAUGAUUAUGAUGUGAGUAUUUGUAUAAGUGAGUUUUUAAUUUUGGAAAAUUAUUUGUUAGAGUUGUUUUUGGUGACAAUUUAUUAUGAUCUUAGAAUUGAGAAUUUGAUUUUGAUGUUGAUUUUGUUUAUGUUAAGCUUGUGGAUAAUUUGAGGUUUGUGUAUUAUUGACAUAUUAUGAUAAAGUGAAAAUUAUUAAGUAUAGAUGAUUUCUUGUAAUUUGAGUUGUUGAUAUUCGAGGUAAUUAGAUUAAUCAUUUGGAGAUAAUGAUCAAUUUUGUGACUAUUUCUAGUAGGAUAUUGGAGUUAUGUUCUAUGAAGUUUAUUUGUGAUAAUAUGGGGAGACAUUGAAAUUUAUGGGAUUAAGGUUUGCAAUAAGGGAUGAUUGAUUUAUUAUAUGAUUAGAUAGUAAGUGAUGAAAUUCAAUUGAUUCUGAGAGAUUUUGAAUAGUUAUAGUUUGCUUAUUAAGAUAGUAUGUAGGAUAUGUGACUUGGAGUUUGAUAUGGUGAUAAAGAGAUCUUAGUAGUAUAUUUUUGGUAUUAUAAUAUUUGAGAGCUAAUUUGAUUUGAGGUUAUGAUAUUUUGAAACUCUUGAGGACUUAGUGAGAGUUGGUAAUAUAGUUUGUAUAGUUGUUUUGUUUGUCUGAUGUCAUUAGAGUUUUGUAUGAAUUUAUGUAAAAAAAAUGUUAGAUCUUUGUCAUGUGUGGAACAUAAACGUUUUAUGAAUUAAAAUUUAUUUUAAAUAUUUUGGGUAUUCGAAUCAUAUUUAGAUGAAGAGAAAUUUUUGUGAUUUCGAAUUAUGUUUUGAAGAGUAUGUACGUUUGCAAGAAUGAAACUCAAUGAUAUUAACGGGGGUCGCGCCAGCUGUGGAGUAUGUGGUUUAAUUCAAUGCAAAACGAAGAACCUUACCAAGGCUUGACACGGUAGCUGACGAAUCUUUUACAAGUACAUAAAUAAUUACGUGGACCGAUGGACUUACCAGCGUUGGUUGUUACAAAAGGUGAUGUUGCGUCGGUUGUUAGCUUAUUUGAAUUCCGAGGACGGAAUUAUUUUUAAGGGGUGAAAAUGUAAUAACCGAUAUUUUUUUGAUUUUAUGUUAUAAAAUUGUGUUUAAAUUGGAAAAGGUAAAUGAUUUUGUUUCCCUCUUUUCUUCCUUGUUUUGUUUGGAAAAUUAAAUUAUUUUUGUAGAUAAUUAAAAAACUGAUUAAAUGGAAAUUGAGGAAGAUAAUUCCUUUUGUUAAAGUCUUAUGGUAAAAUCAUUCGGAGUGGGAAGCUACUUGGGAAAUAGAGGAGUCUAUUCGAGCGGAGUAUUCGCAUCUUUUGAUAAUUUGGUACGUUCAUUCAUUUGAUUCCGGGGACGGAAUCCUUUUUAAGGGGUAGAUGAUGUAAUACUCGGUAAAAUAAUAAUAAUAAUAAUAAUAAUAAUAAAUAAAUAAAUAAAUAAUAUUUAAAUCCAUAUUUUAAUUGGGUUUUUCUUAUGUUUGGGUCAAAUUGUAUUUAAUUUGCGUGACUUAUAAUAAGUAGGUGAUUACAUUAAUUUGGGCUUUUAUACUAAUUGGGUCUAUUUUGUAUUUGGGUAAUAUUAAAAUCCUAUUAAAAUUAGGAGACACAAUGAGAUAUAUUAAUUAAUAAAUAAGCAAAUCCUAAUUGCUUCAUCAUAUUUUCUACCGACUGAGUAAAAGAAAAAGAGCGUAGCCACGGUUAAACAAUAGAGAGGAGAGAGGAGAGAGGAGACUAUUCUGUGAGCAUCAAAGAAGCACAACCAUCUCGUUUAAUUCGGGUAAGUUCUACUUAUUAUACAUGUGAAUAGUAUAUAGAGGAGAAUAAUUGCUAUGUUUCUUUUGGCUGAUAUGGAAUAAUUGCUGAGUUUCAUAAUGAUGUAAGUACCAUGAUCAUCAUCCAUCAUCAUUAAGUCAAAGUUGCUAAAAAGAUAGAGUGCAUGUGGAUCCGUAUGAUUUUAAUGUAUAUUAUAAUUUAAUUUGAACUAUAGUUAUAUAUAUAUAUAUAUAUAUAUAUAUAUAUAUAUAUAUUCAACCUGUUUAAAAAAAAANNNNNNNNNNNNNNNNNNNNNNNNNNNNNNNNNNNNNNNNNNNNNNNNNNNNNNNNNNNNNNNNNNNNNNNNNNNNNNNNNNNNNNNNNNNNNNNNNNNNNNNNNNNNNNNNNNNNNNNNNNNNNNNNNNNNNNNNNNNNNNNNNNNNNNNNNNNNNNNNNNNNNNNNNNNNNNNNNNNNNNNNNNNNNNNNNNNNNNNNNNNNNNNNNNNNNNNNNNNNNNNNNNNNNNNNNNNNNNNNNNNNNNNNNNNNNNNNNNNNNNNNNNNNNNNNNNNNNNNNNNNNNNNNNNNNNNNNNNNNNNNNNNNNNNNNNNNNNNNNNNNNNNNNNNNNNNNNNNNNNNNNNNNNNNNNNNNNNNNNNNNNNNNNNNNNNNNNNNNNNNNNNNNNNNNNNNNNNNNNNNNNNNNNNNNNNNNNNNNNNNNNNAAGGCAUAUUAAAUAGAUUAUGAAUUAUUUUGGAAUUAUUGAAUUGGAUUAUUUAAUAUUUGAGGUGAAUAUGUUUAGGUGAUGAAUAACGUUUCGUAUUUGAUAUCGUUGACAUUUGAGGGUAAGAUUUUGUGGAGUGUGCUAUAAAUGGUUUGGAAGUAUCAGGUACGGAUUCCGUACUCUUUCAGCGAUACCUUUGUUAAAUUUGAUUUGUUCGUUUGUUUCCUUAUUUCGAAUUCUAUUAUGAUUUCACAUAAUUGUUUCUUGUGAAAUAAAUAUAUUAGUUUCAUUUUAGAGUUGAUACGUAUGACUCGUAUUUGUACUCUUUGAAUUAGGUUAUCAUGUUUAGUAUUAUUUAUUUUGAUAAUUGUAGAGCGGUACAUGUUGCUACCUUCUUUUUGAGACCUUGUGACUAUAAUUUGAUUUGGUUCAACAUGUACAUAUAGAACCCUUUUGUUGGUAUUAUGUCGCAUGUGUUGUGACGUGGUAUUUUUGUUAGAAUAUACCAUAGGGUAUACUUGAGCUAUAACCACCUGUGGGGGUACCAAAGGCAUGUCGUCUUGGCACGAGAGACAUGACACUUUCGGUGGCGGUGUGAUUAGUCCACGACGUCUCAAUUAUCGGCUCCGGAUUAAAUGGGCCAUUUGGUGUUUUGUUGUGGGAGGCGUAUGGGUUAACCCUAGUUUUCUGUUUUGCGGAUUGGUGAUGUUGUGCCAAACACACCUAUCCGAUUUUUAUACAUUUGGAUUCGCGGUCCAAUGUGUGAUUUGCCUGUAUGGCAUUAUUUUGGUUGCCUGUGUGGCAUUAUAUAUUUUGACUUGCCUGUGUGGCAUUGUUUUGAUGUGCCUGUGUGGCAUCAUUUGAUUUGCCUGUGUGGCAUUAUUUUGACAUGCCUGUGUGGAAAGGUAUAUUCUGAGCUCAUUCGGUAUGAAAUAACUCCAGCCAUUUAUUUCAGCCUAUUAUUUUAUUGGAUUAGUUUUGUUGGUUUCUGUUCAAUUCAAGUCAUUGAGUUAGUUACUUCAGUUUGUUAUUUCUUUAUUCUUUUAUUGGUUUCGUCAAUUAUGUUGAUUCAGAUAUAUUCCAUUCAGAUCUUUGGAUAUUAUAUUUUCAUUCGUAUUUGCACUUGAGGCUUUGUUCAGUAUUUUAUCUUAGUUGUUUUCGUAUAUCAGUUGUAUAUCUUUUGUAUAUCUGUAUCCGUACUGGGCAAUUGGCUCAUGCUGUGUUUUUCUUCCGACAGGUUUGCAGGGGUGAUUCAGGGCUAGUGCGAUGAGAGUUUUGCCUUUGACCAUUUAGGUUGACUCGAAUUUUAAGUUUUGAUUAUUUUGACUCAGUUUGGAGAAUUGUACUUAUUACUUUAUUAAUGGAUUACCACUAUUAAUAUUUUGGGGUUGUUAGUGCUCUGUUUAUUUAAUUUGAGGUUUGUUGUGCUUUGCACGUGACCUCCCUUUCCUUUUCAGGAAGGGGGUGUUACAAUAAUCAUAACAGAUGACGCAUAUAAAACACAAUUAAACUGCAGGUGCUACUUAGGUGCACACAUAAGAAUGAUCAAGGUUACUAAGCACUUAAACAAGGCUUACAAUUUCACCAAAACCAAGCUAUGUUAAUUAAAUUGAAAUUAUUUAAAUAUGGAAGGGUAUUAAUAAAAUUGAAAUUAUUAAUACCCUUCCAUAUUUAAAUAAUUUCUCCCCAUCUUAAUUUUGUCGAAUUAACUAUUUUAGCAUAUAUAAAAGCUAAAAAAAAUUAUUGACUUUUCAUAACAUACAUUGUAUAAAACCUUUAUGACACAGGUAUGUUAUUUCCAAAGGAAACAAUGGCGGAAACUUAUAAUCGUAUCCAAUAGGGCAAGAAGUAUCUAAUUGAGCCGUAAAAAACAACAUAUAAAAAAACACUCACAAUCCAGCCUCAAAACAUCAUUUCAGCAUAUCAUAUCAGCACAUCAAAACACUCCCAAUAUGUCAAUGUGGCAUGUAUAUAAAAUAAAUUACAUACUACCAAUAAGGUAGAAUACCCAAACUCGAAGAAUAAUACAGUGGGGAAAAAGUUCCAUCAAUAGAAUAACACCCAAUAUAUAUCCAAUUCAGAAAUAAAGAGAAUUAGGGUUACCUGUGGCGGCAGCGAUGGCAGUGGACAGUGGCAGCGAUCGGCGGCGGUCAAUUUCUCCCUCCCUUUUCUCUUCUCCCCCUUCUCCCUCUUCUCCCUAUUAUGUUCUCCAUCAUUUUCUUCUCUUGUCUGCUGAACUACGAAUGCCUGAGUCUAAUUAUGUUUUAGACGAUCAGCGACCGCAUGCGGUCGCUGAUUUUUAAUGACGUAGACGAUUCAGCAAUCGAUGUGCAGUCGCUGAUAUAUAUUGGUCGCAAAAAACAAACGCGCUAACUUUUUGCACCAAUUUUUGGGAGGGAAAUUCAUGUCAGCGACCGAUCAGCGACCGCAUGUGGUCGCUGAUAUUAAAUAAUGACUAGAUUAAAUUCUGGUAGCAGAUAUCGGUCGUUAUUAGUAUUAUCCGCGACCGGACAUGCGAUCACUGAUAGUAUUGGUCGAUGUUAGGCCUUUUUCUUGUAGUGAUACGAAGAGAAUACGAGAAUUGUAAGAGUAGAAUACAAAUAGUCCUUAAUAGACUUUGGUAAUUGGACUUUGUCAUUUACAAUUAGACUUGGAUUAUGUCUAGCCCAAUAAGAUAUUAUGUGAAGCCCAAAGUUAUGUUAAGACAAGCCCAAGAUAUGCCCAAUAAGAAUUAAUGCUAAGGCCUAAACGAAGAAAACAAACCAUGGAUCGAACCGAUGGGUCACCGGAUGGGUAAAACCAUUGGGGAAACCCAUGGGGGUGACCCAUGGAGCAUAUGGGUCGGCUACUUUGCCACCAAGUAAAGUGGUUACUUGGUGGCUAAGCCAUGAAUAAUAAGGAGGUGGAGACAAAGACCAUAUUACCCUCUAUUUGGUUUUCCUAUAUAAGAAAGGCUAAGUUGGUUCAUUAGGUGUUUUACAAACAUUAACCAACAUAUAUUGAGAGAGAGAAAAGUGUGAUAACAAGUAAUCAAGUGAGUUUUAAACAAAACAUACAAGCUUUAUCAAGAACGUGAAGGUAAUAUUACGUAAACCCAAUUCUUUAAUCCUUUUCUAUUUCUUUUCUUAGAGAAGUAUGAACUGGUGGAGCAUGUCUCUUCCAAAGUAAUAAGGAUGGCUAAUAGCGGAUUAAAUCAUUAUAAGUUAUGUAUGAUUAGAAAUCAUAAGCAUUUAAGUAAUUUUACGCGAAGAAAGCUGAUAAGUGUUUAUUUGGUUGUUGAUGGACAAAUUGAAAACCAUCAUAGGGUAUGUGCAUCUUUUUUGGUUAGGAUGUAGAUGAUGAAUCAAUGGAGUUGUUCCAUUUAAUUUGGUGUAGAAAACUCGAGUAACGAAGUUAUAGCAAAAUUUACUGGAUUAGGCGUUAAACGUUGAAAACAUAGAAAUCCUGGAGUAGUAAUUGAAAGUUGUCUUUUAACUCAUAAACCUUGGUUUUAAAUGGCAUAACGUAGGAUAGUGUAUUUAAGAGUCGUAGAUUCAAGAAUCGUCGAAUUUUGACGUAGAACGAAGAAACGAGCUAUGAACGCUCACGAGCGUUAAACGUACGUGUAAUAGAAUGCUAAUUAGUGAAUUCAUUGUUAACGGAUUUAAAAAUUUCUUUUAUCCAGAUGAAAUUGAAGUAUAUGAGAUAUGUAAGAUAAUGGCUUUUGAACGAGCUAAUUCCGACUUAUAAUGACCAAGAUACGAGUCCUGAAAGAAUUGAAUUGGAAAAUUUUAGAAAUUUCUCAAGGGCAAAAAGGGUCAGCGCCAUAGCGCUGCCCAAGCAUAGAACACUCGCGCCGCAGCGCCAGGUCGGGGGAUCGGCCUCUGCAGAGUUUCACCACAGCACCACUCGUAAGCAUGAGUCUCACACCGCAGCGCCGAGAUGGGGGAUCGAGAGUACUGCAAAGUGGCGCCGUAGCGCCAUUGGUGUACUAGAAGUUGGCGUCGCAACGCCAAUUAAGGAAAUAUGUCUGACAAGGGCUUUUGAACCCAAUUAUUACCUAACAACUAUGAGGCAUGUAUAUAUUUAAUAUACAUGAUAAGACUAUUCUUAAAACACAUGAAUAGUGAUGACUUUAGGAAUUUAACGUUGUUUAAUUAGUAAUUAAAUGAAGCGCGUAAAGUUUAAGAAGUUAAACUGUAAUCAAUUACGAUGAUACUUAAUCAAUGAUUAGUGAGUAUUGGUUUAGUAACGUAACAACGUUAAUAAGCCGUGAAGAAGGAUAAUUAACUCGAAACGAGUUGUAUUAAUGAAAUAUUUUCAGUUGAGUUUAGAAGAGAAAGAAGUUAGUAAAAACAAUGUGAUUAGAUUGUUUGGUAACUAAUUUCAAGGUGAUAUGUAAAUAUAUCAUGUAGAUACUGUAAAGACUGAGAACUAUUAAAUAUUUAUUUGAAGACGCUUGAAUGCAAGUUUUCUUAACGCUUGUCUAACCUUCGUGUUAGCCAAGUUCUUUAUGAUUCAUGUUAUGAGAUGCAUGAAUUGUUUUACGAAAGGGUCGAUGCCAGUUUUAACUCGACUUGACUAAUCUUAAGAGUUUGAUUGAUUUAUUUAUAAGUCUUUCAAUAUAGUAUUGAUAACGUUAUCCUAUGCCAAUUGUUUGGUACAGAUUCAAAGGUAAGCCUGAGUAUGAAUAAACAAAUGUAUUUUUCAUCGAUUAUUCAAUGGGCACGUGAGGUUGCCAAAACUUUAACGUAAAUACAUUUAACGGAUGAGUGUUGAUCAACAUAGAGUAUUAUAGGUUUAUCACCUAGAUGUACAUGUAAGAUAUAUUGGACUUACGGACUUAGUGCUGGGUUAUCCUUUUUAUGAAUUGAAAUCAAAGAGACUGUUCAUGGUGUUUUGACCUACUCAGAAUAAGUCACUAUAUGUACUUCGAAUUUUUUUUAUGAGAUGAGGAGUGAUAUUCAAUGUUUUAUAGUACUUCGUAACUACUUGUUCAGUUAUUGAAGAAUAAUCAUAUGAUUCUCGACGUGGUAUUUAUAUAAUAUGUUGUUAGACUUGCUGAGCUAGCUAUGCUCACUUCUUGCUUGAAUUAUAUGAUUACAGCUAAGGCCGAACGAACUGAGGGUUCUAAUAAAGAUAAAGGCAAGGCUAAGAUGGAUACGUAGUUUAUCCUAUAAUAGACUAGUUUAUUUGUAUGAAUUAUACUUAUGAAUAGUGAAGAAUGUAUAUGGUUUCAGAACCUAGGAAAGGAAUUAUUAUUAGUGUAAUAAGAAUGUAGUUAAUACACUCAUUUUGAUGUUGUUUCAAUGGAAUGAAUGUAUAGUCAGUAGUAUCGUGUAGCACCAUCUGUCGGGUUGGAAGAUACCCAGAUUUGGGGGUGUCACGGGUUGGUAUCAAAGCAUUAGGUUAUAAAACUUAAGGGGGGAAGAACCUUAGGCUAAUAACCUCGUUAGUAGAUGUGAAGUAGAAGCGAAUGAACUCUAGUAGAAUGAAUUAAUUAAGUAUUGAGGAAACUCAGUACCGAAAGAUUUAAAAGAUGAAAAUUAACCCUAAAUAAAUUAAAUGUCUUAUACUGUUGUGUAUUAUGUACUAAUCAACAUGUUAUGUGUUAUGGUAGAUGUCCAUCAAUAGCUUUAUGUUAGGGGAUAUGUUGGUCGAUGUGGAUGAGGAGAUGGAGGUAGCAUCAUUUAAUAUGGUGGUACCUGCACUAGAGCCAACACAUCUAGAGGCAAUGAUGGCAUUGUAUCUGGCAGUGCUUGACCGGAACGUGCAACUGCGCACUAUUGUGCAGAACCAGAGGGAGGAGAUUAGUGAUAUCCAUAAAGCUAAGGAAUCUGCAAAAGCAGGUUUUAAGAAAGAGCAUGACGAGAAAGUGCUCAUGAAGGAUAAGGAGACAUAUUUUAAGAGUGAGGUCGAUGACCUUCGUAAAGAACUAGGGGAGAAGGACCAGAAGAUAUCAUAGAUAUCUUACAUCUAUGAGAGUGCUCAUGAGGAUUUCAAGCUGAAAGUUGCUUGUUAUUCUAUUGAGUCGGGACAAACUCGACAUACUAUUAGUCAGGAUAUUAUAUCGAUUAUUGCGAAUGAGAAGCACGAGGAUGCUAUUAUACAUUAUUAGAAGACUGGAGCGGUAAAUAUUUUGUGUAGUGACGUAAAACCUCUAUUGUAUAAUAAAAGGGUACUCUUUUUGUAAAUUCCAACUUUUGUGAAAUUCAAUCGCGGGAUAGGAAUGUGAUAGCUUUGGUUAUGGAAUCAAAUUGUAAAUAGUUUGAAUGAUGAAGAAGCAUAUUAAUAUAUGAGGUGGCUAUUGAAUGUGCUUUUUUAUGGUAUGAGUUAUUGGUGCCGAGCAAUAACUAAGUAAUUAAAUAGUAAUAAUGCAACUUUAUUUAUUUAAUCAGAGAAAUUUCGCUAAGAAGGAGACAACAUAAUCAGGAAGCUGAAUCCCAUAAUGAUAACCAAGGGGGUCAGAACAACCUUAUGCAAGAGUUUGUUAAUUUAUUAACGGCUGCAUUUAACCAAAUUGGGGGUAGAGCACCCGCAGUACCUAGCGUAGCCAGAACGACUACCUUUAAUGAAUUUAAAAACAUAGGUCCGCCGGAGUUCAAGGGAACUACGGACCCAAUAGAGGCCCAAACAUGGGUGAAGGAAAUUGAGAAGGCGUUUGUAAUUAUAAACGUAGGUGAGGCGCAAAAGACUUCUUUUGCGACCUAUAUGAUGAAAGGGGAAGCCCCCUUUUUGGUGGGAGGCUCACUAGGGUGGGGCUAGGAUAGAUGUGGUAACGUGGGAACAGUUCAAGAAAGUUUUCUUCGAGAACUAUUUCCCUAUAAGUAUGCAAGGGAGAAUGGAGAUUAAGUUCUUAGAACUUAAGCAAGGGGACAUGACGAUUCCCCAGUACGCGGCCAAAUUUGAUGAAUUUGCAAGAUUUGUUGUGACAACACCGAAUCCGGGUCCCAAAUCACCGCGGAUCUGGUUCAAUCAUUCUACAACUAUUGCGGAAGAUAUAAACAUAAAUUGUUUAUAUAAUACAUUUACACACUAUUCCCCAAGGUCGAGUAACCUUAACUUAUACACAAUUCAUAAUUUGUCUAACAUAUUACAUCAUUGUCAUACUAUACUAUUACAAUUUAGCUGGACGUAUUAUCCUAAGCUAGACUUGGUCUUGCCUUUCCUGUAUCCGAACAUAUUCGCCUUAUCUGCAAUGUUUAUCAUGAUAUAGCAAGGGUGAGCAAUAAGUUUGCCCAGCAAGUUUAAGUUCAAUAAAUUAAGAAUAUAUCAUGAUUGAAAGAAUGGAACAAAAGUUGGCUACAGUUCUACAAUAUAAUUGUGAACUAGCAUGAACAAAAUUUACACAGCUGAAUGAACAUUGAACAUGAACAUAUAUAUCUAUAUAUAUAUAUAUAUAUAUAUAUAUAUAUAUAUAUAUCUAGACCGAAUGAUAAUGAAGGUGAUCAGCCUUUCAUACCUGAUGAAUACAUGCAGUAUGCACAGAGUGCGAUUUAAUCAUUCUUAGACAUGACAAUCAGAAAUGAUUAACCACAAGUAUAAUUGAAUAAUACAACUCAAAGUUGAGUUAAGAAAAACUUGCCUGAACCGUUGAUUAUCGCUAUGCAAUUUAAUAAGCUUUGUCUGAAGACCUAAUAUUAAUAAUAUUUAUUUCUAAGUUAGAAUAAUAUCAUCACAAUAUUUAAAAUAACCUAAACACAUUAUCACAUAAUCGUAUCUGUCUAUAACACACAUAAGACUUAACCUCAAGUCAAACUUUUACAGUCUGAGUCGAGUCCGACAUAAUUCUAACAUCCCGACGGUCUAGUCGGACAAUUGUCGAGUUUAAGUUCAAUUAAACUUUGCCUAAACACUUAACAAUUAUUUUAGAUAAUUAUAUUAUUAGUCAAAAUAAUUUUCCAUGUCUAAUGAAAAUCAUAACAUAAUAUUAUAAUAUAUUUAUAAUACAUCAACGUAUUUUUAAUACCUUAAAAUCACAUUUAUAUGAUUUUUAAACAUUUAAUUCCAUUAUCCAAUAAUUGCUUUUAAUAUUAAAAUAUUAAUAUUUUUAUGACAAAAUAUCAAAAGUUAUAUUUUAUAACUUAAAAUAUUUUUAUAACACUUCAAUCAUUUUUAUAUGAUUUAUAAAUCAUUAAUUUUAUUUUUCCAUAAUUUAUUUAAUACAUUUAUUAAAUAGACUAAUUAUCAUUAAUAUUGAUUAAUUACUGAAAUUCCUCACAAAAUAUUAAAAGUCACUAAAAAUAACUUCAAAUAUUUUCUUAUACCAUAAUAUAUUUUUUUAUGAUUUUUCAAGUAUUAAAAAUCAUUUUUAAAAAAUUUAUUUAAUAUUAUAAUUAAAUAAAUUAAAUACCAUUAUUAUUCCAAAAAUAUUAAAUAUAUAUGAAAUAUAUUCAGAAUAAUUAAAAACUAAUUUUCAGACUUUAAAAUAAUUUUUAGGAAAUUAUUUUUAUCUAUUUAUUAAUUAAGAUAAUUAAUUUUAGAAAUAAAUUGUCGGUAAAGGGGCAUUGGGCGACAAAACCGUCACUUAUUGUGUUCUUGAGUGUUCUUUAGUGAAUCACAGGUAUGCAUGUCAGUUUACCGGGUAGGGGGGUUUGACCAGCUAUCAAACAUGGAGCUUGAUGUAUCCGAGGUAGAUUGAGUGUUAAGAUUAUAGUACUGAUGUAAUACUACAAUCCUAAACAAAAAAUCAUGGCCAUUCUAUAUCCAAGCAGGAAGAUCUGGUCCCUCAAAGUUCUUGUCAGGCCUAUUCUUCAUUUUCUGGGUUACCCAAAAAUGAAGAACAACCAAGGUACCUAAUUUGCAGCUUUAAAUCAUAGCUAUUUGGACUCGGUUUGUGUGAUCUAGUGGUUCAAAAAGGUAGUAUAGAUGUCAGUGAACAAUUAUAUAUCAUCAGAUCAUAACAACAACAUCACACGUAAUAGAUUUAGGUCGGUCAAAGUACUAGCCAGAAAACGCCCAUUGAAGAUCUAGGUUACCCAGAAUAUCUUUUCGGCGAGUUGGUCAACGUAGGUUUGACCACGAUUAUCUACGAUUCUGUGCAAGAUCUGCUUGUUCUAAACACUUUAGUGUGUAGUUCACAUGCCAUUGUACAACAUAACAACAACACAUUGACCAAACUAUCAAAGAGCAGCAAGAUCGAAGUCCUGCAAAACAUUGUCAAACAAGAUUUGGGUUUCUGGGUUGCCCAGAAACCCGUUCCCGUGACCGGUCAACGCAGUUUGACUGCUCAUAUCUCUCAACCUAUUCAUGAUCUAGCCCUGUUUCUAGUUUCAGAUCAUAGUCCGCAUAACAUAGAACACAUUUAUAACAUAAAACAACAAAAAUCAAAAAUAGAGAAGGAUCUAGGGCCUUUGACAUAUGGAUGUCAGGUCACUUUUUCAACUUUUUCCAGAUUUCAAAAAUUUUCAAAAUUGUGCAUCUAGAUGUUAUGGAUCCAUGAUCCAAUAACCCAGAUCACUAAAAGACAUCUUAUGACACAACUCUAAACAACAACUAACAUCAAAACACAAGAUUUUAAGGAUUUCGAAAUAUAAGUAUUAUACCACUUUGAAGCUUGAUCUUUGAUUCUGAUCUUUAUGAUCUGAUCAUGGCUAGCUAAGGAUCAAUCUAGGGACUGAAUCACUAAUUAAUCUCGUGGGUCUAGAGAGAGAAGGAGUUGGUUGAGAGUUAGAACACAAAUAAACCAAAUAUGUGAACUUUCUCUCUCUUCAAUUAUUUAUAUAAUUGGAUGCAAUAGAUAUGGCCGUGAUAUAUGGCUGAUUUCUGUGAUAUUUUACCACAUGGGUGUAUCUUAGCUAGUCACCAACUACAAAUAGGGAAAUAAUUGCAAGCUAUCUUCAAUAAUGCACAAAGGGUAAUUUGGAUAUUUGGCUUUUAAAUUUAAUGGCUAACUUGUCAUUUGCUACAACCCUUAGGGUUUAACCCUUAUGGUUAAAACCUAAGGUUUUAAAAAUUAAAUCUAGGAUUUCCAAAUUAAGAUAUUAAAAAUGGAAAAUUAAUCUUUCAAAUUUAUGAUUAGUAUUUUCUAAUUAUAUUAAAGUUUACUAAUCAUUUUCAAGCUAGCUAAUUAGGAUUAAUAAUUCCUAAUUAAAAUUAAAAUUACCUAAUUACCUAUUAGGGUUUCAAAUUUACAAAUUAGGGUUUCUAAUAAAUAAGGUUUCUAAUUAUUAGAAUUUCUAAAUAAUCAUUAGGGUUAUCCCUAAUUAGAUUGUAAUUAAUACCCAAAAGCUUUAUACAUAGCAUUUAAAUUCAACAUUAGGAUUUUGAUAAUCCGAAUUAGGGUUUCAAAUUCCCGGGGACUGAAAUUAGGGUUUCCAGAGCCGGUAAUAGGUUUUCUAAUCAAUCGUUUAGGGUUUUCUAACUGAACGUUGACGUUCUUAAUAUAAUAUUAAGGUUUGCCACUGAUAUAUAUUAUCUGGUCAACCCUUGACCCUUAACCACAUACUGUACACAUAAUAUAUCAUAUACAUAGAAUAUAUUCACAUAUACCUUUAAUCCUGAAUAAUUCACCACAAAAAUUUAUAAAUUCAUAAAAUUCCUUCUUGAAAAUGUCGAAUCGAUUCACUUAUUUUCUGUCUAGGUUUAUUAUUUAACUUUUAUUCAAUAAUUUAAGAUUUUAAUAAAUAUCAAAAUUUUUGGGUCGUCACAUUUGCUCUACACCAAGUGGACACUGAGGAGAGGAAGGCUCGUAGGUUUGAGUAGGGACUGAAACCCUGGCUCUAUAGUAGGAUUUAUGUGUUCUAUAGUGCUUUCUACGGGACCAUUCUGGAGAAACCAAUUAUUGGUGAGGGUGGUAGUGAGGCUUUGAGCCAAUACCACGAAGAGAGAAAGAAUAAGGGUAAAGGAGAAGGAGUACCCAAGGUGGAGGGAGCCAGUGGUAGUGGCAGUAUGCCCAAGAGGAAGAGUUUUAACUCCGGGAAUACUGGAGUUUAACAAGGGGAUCCUAAGCAUAGGGUCGAGGCAUGUGGGCAUAUAUCACCCAAUUAUCCUAAUCCUAAGAAGAACCAAGGAUGUAUUGUUUGUGGAUCGAUGGACCACAUGGCAAGAAAUUGCCCAAAGAAGGGGUCACAUGGUAGCAAGGGUACUAGUAGUGGUAAGUUAGCCAUUAUUGGACCAACACCACUGGGUAGACCUAUGGCCCGUACUUUUAAUAUGACUGUCCAAGAUGUGGUUGAAUCAGCGGAUGUAGUAACAGGUAUCAUUCCAGUCAAUAAAAUGAAUGCUUAUGUGCUAUUUGAUUCGAGCGCUACUUGUUCUGUUAUAGCAUAUGAAUUUGCUAAGCGAUUGGGGUUUAUUCCCGGAAAGAUUAGAACUAUCUUUAGAUGUUAAGGUAGCAAACAAGGAGAUAAUUUCCAUUGAACACAUUCAUAAGAAUUUUUUUGUAGAUAGUAGAGGUAAUAGAUUAUCGGUAGAUCUUAUACCGAUAAGGUUGAGAGAAUUUGAAGUAAUUCUCGGUAUGGAUUGGUUAAUGAACCAUAAAGCUAUAAUAAAUUGUCAUAGGAAAAGUGUGAAUCUUUGGAUUUCUAAGAAACCCAAGGUAGUGUUUUACGGUAGUAAAUCACCGGGAUGCUUGUGUUGUCUAACCAUGACACAAGUUAGGAAAAUGUUGAGGAGGGGUUGUAUGAGAUAUCUAUGCCAUGUUGUGAAUACCCAAAGAGUGGGAGCACCGAUAUUAUUUGUAAAGAAAAGGGAUGGAUCAUUACGAUUGUGUAUCGACUAUCAUGAGUGAAUAAGUUAACAAUUAAGAAUAAAUACCCAUUGCCCAUGAUUGAUGAUUUAUUUGAUCAGUUGAAAGGGGCAAAGUAUUUUUCUAAGAUAGACUUAUGUACGGGGUAUCGUCAGUUGAAAGUAAGGAAGGAGGAUGUACCUAAGACGACGUUCAAAACUCGUUAUGGUUAUUACAAGUUUCUUGUUAUGUCAUUUGGGUUGACUAAUGCACCGAAGUUAGACUUUCUGUAGGGGGCCGUCGAGCAAGUCGGUGGCAAAUUGAUAGAUACUCUUGUGAGGUGCUAUGGUUGAAAGUACCAUUAGCGUCAUAGAGUGUUCAAAUAAUAUUUGGACAAUUUUAUCGUAAUGAUCAUUGAUGAUAUUCUAGUCUAUUCUAAGAUGCCAAAAGAUCACGCUCAACAUUUGAAGAUAGUGUAGGAAACACUAUGGAGGGAGAAGAUGGAUGCAGAAUUCACUAAGUGUGAAUUUUGGCUUAAAAGAUGUACAGUUUUUAGGACAUGUUAUUGAUAAAGUAUGUUGGGACUGAGAAGUGAGAAAAUAGUUUUCAAGAACUAAAAACGAAUGUUAAAUGAGGCACCUGUAUUAUCUUUACCAGGUGAUACGGGGAAUUUUGUAGUGUAUCGCGAUGCUUCGCAUAGAUGACUGGGUUGCAUACUCAUGCAGCAUGGCAAAGUCAUUGCGUAUGCGUCACGCUAGUUAAAGGAUUAUGAGAAGGUUUAUCCUACUCAUGGCCUAGAAUUGGCAGCUGUAGUUUUUGCAUUAAGAAUAUGGAGACAUUACUUAUACGGGGAGAAGUGUGAGAUAUACACGGACCAUAAAAGUCUGAGAUAUAUCUUUACACAGAAGGAGUUGAAUAUGAGGUAGGGAAGGUGGUUAGAAUUGAUAAAAGAUUAUGACUGUGAUAUCUUAUAUCAUUUAGGGAAGGCAAGCAUAGUAGCCGACGCGUUAAGUAGGAAGGGUAAGGAAAAGUUAUCAAUGUUAACGACUCAGAAUGAGUUAAUAACGAAGAUGGCGAGAACGGAGUUAGAAGUUAAAUUAAUGAAUGAAGCGGUAGAAAUGUUAUUCACAAUGUAGACUUAAUCCACGAAAAUGGAACGAAUUAAGGAAGUACAACUAAAUAACGAGGAGUGCGAGCGAAUGAAGAAGAAGAUGGAGGAUGAAGAGAAGAUCAAGUAUAAUCUUGUUUUGAAGGAAGAAUUUGAGUUCCAAAUAAUUCCAAGUUAAAAGAAGAGAUAAUAAGAGAGACCCAUAGUUUGAGGUUCCCGAUAUAUCUAGGUAGUACUAAGAUGUAUUAAAACCUUUGGCAGAACUUUUGUGGCCAAACAUGAAGAGAGAGAUAACGGAAUAUAUUAGUAAGUGCUUCACUUAUCAGAAAGUUGAGACUGAACACCAACGACGAGUGGAUUAUUACAAUCGCAAGAGAUUUCAGAGUGGAAAGGGAAGAUACAUUUUGAAGAGAAAAGGGAAGUUAAGUCCAAGGUCUUAGGACGUUUUGAAAUUUUUAGAAGGGUAUGAGAGGUAGCUUAUGAAGUAGCUUUACCUCCAAAGAUUGAACGAAUACAUAAUGUAUUUCACGUGUCAGUAUUGUGUCCUUAUAAACCGGACUACAAGCACAUAAUAGAGUAUAAAUCUAUUCAAGAAGAAAAAGACUUAACGUAUAAAGAACUUCCAAUUCUGAUUGUUGAUAGGAAGGAACAAGUCUUGAUAAAUAAGAUAAUACCUUCAGUAAAGGUAAUUUGGAGAAACCACAAUGUUGAAGAAGCAUCGUGGGGACUCAAAAGAAAAAUGAAGGAAAAUUCUCCUCAUUUAUGUAUGAAAUUGAAGUAAGAUUCUGGGGACAGAAUCCUUAUAAGGGGGAAGGAUGUAACGCCCGAGAAAAUCGGAUCCUUAUAUGAAUUAAAUUUUUAUUUGAUUAUUUGAAUUAAAUGAAUUUAAUUGUUUAUUUAUGUGAGUAAGCUAUUUGAAGGUCGCUUUAUGACCUAGAAUGUGCGGAUGUGGUAAGGAUUCUGGCUAUGUGCUAGGAUUAAUUGUUAUGAAUUUACAAGACGAAAAUGGAAUUUUUUCGAAAAGUUUCCGUAAAAACACUAUUCAUUCAUUUCUGCUCAGAGAUUAAGUUUGAAUUUCUGAGAAACACAUAAUGAUAGAAUACUAAGACGUAAUGGAAUAUCUAAUAAUAUUUUGGUUUUGGAAAACGAUGUUUUCGCCUGCUGUCUUAAAACCUAAGGGUUGGGAAAAGUGAGUUCCGAGAAUUUAAUGGCUACGUAUAAUGAUUAGGGUUAUUAUACGUAAGAAAUACGAGUUUGAUACUAGUUAUUAUACAAGUAUAGCAUGAAUAUUAUUACAACGUAUAAUACGAAUAUCGUACGAACUAUAUACGAAGAGAAUACGAGAAUUGUACGAGUAGAAUACAAAUAAUCCUUAAUGGACUUUGGUAAUUGGACAUUGUCAUUUCCAAUUGGACUUGGAUUAUGUCAAGCCCAAUAAGAUAUUAUAUCAAGCCCAAAGUUAUGUUAAGACAAGCCCAAGAUAGGCCUAAUAAGAAUUAAUGUUAAGGCCCAAACUAAGAAAACAAAUCGCGGAUCAAACUGAUGGGUCACCGGAUGGGUAAAACCAUUGGGGCAACCCAUGGGGUGACCCAUUGAGCAUGUGGGCCGAUCACUUGGCCACCAAGUAAAGUGGUUACUUGGUGGCUAAGCCAUGGAUAGUAAUGAGGUGGACACAAAGACCAUUUUACCCUCCAUUUAGUUUUCCUAUAUAAGAAAGGCUAAGUUGGUUCAUUAUAUGUUUUACAAACAUUGACCAACAUAUAUUGAGAGAGAGAAAAGUGUGAUAACAAGUAAUCAAGUGAGUUCUAAGCAAAACAUACAAGCUUUAUCAAGAACGUAAAGGUAAUAUUACGUAAACCCAAUUCUUUGAUCCUUUUCUAUUUCUUUUCUUAGAGAAGUAUGAACUGGUGGAGCAUGUCUCUUCUAGAGUAAUAAGGAUGGCUAAUAGUGGAUUAAAUCAUUAUAAGUCAUGCAUGAUUAGAAAUCAUAAGUGUUUAAGUAAUUUUACACGAAGAAAGCCGAUAAGCGUUUAUUUGGUUGUUACUGGACAAAUUAAAAACCAUCAUAGGGUAUAUGCAUCUUGUUUUGUUAGGAUGUAGAUGUUGAAUCAAUGCAGCUGUUCCAUUUGAUUUGGCGUAGAAAACUCCAGUAACGAAGUUCUGGCAAAAUUUACGGGAAUAAGCAUUAAACGUUGAAAACGUAUAAAUCCCGGAGUAGUAAUCGAAAGUUGCCAUUUAACUAGGAAACCUUGGUUUUCGAUGGCAUAACGUAGGAUGGAGUAUUUAAGAGUCGUAGACUCAAGAAUCGUCGAAUUCCGACGUAGAACGAAGAAACAAACUAUGAACGCUCACGAGCGUUAAACGAACGUGUAAUAGAAUGUUAAUUAGUGAAUUCAUUGUUAACGGAUUUCAAAAUUUCUUUUGUCUAGAUAAAAUCGAAGUAUAUGAGAUAUGUAAGAUAAUGGCUUUUGGACGAGCCAAUUCCGACCUAUAACGACCAAGUUACGAGUCCGAAAAGAAUUGAAUUGGAAAAUUUUAGAAAUUUCUCAAGGGCAAAAAGGGUCGGCACCACAGCGCCGCCAAAGCACAGAACACCCGCGCCAUAGCGCCGGGUCGGGGGAGUGGCCUAUAGAGAGUCGCGUCGUAGCGCCACUCGUAAGCAUGAGUCCGCAGCGUCGAGACCGGGGAUCGAGUAAUGCAAAGUGGCGCUGCAGCGCCAUUGGUGUACUAGAAGUUGACGCCGCAACGCCAAUUGAGGAAAAAUGUCUCACAAGGGCUUUUGAACCCAAUUGUUACCUAACAACUAUGAGGCAUGUAUAUAUUGAAUAUACAUGAUAAGACUAUUCUUAAAACACAUGAAUAGUGAUGACUUUAGGAAUUUAACGUUGUUUAAUUAGUAAUUAAACGAAGCACGUAAAUUGUAAGAAGUUAAACCGUAAUCAAUUACGAUGAUACUUAACCAAUGGUGAGUGACUGUUAUUUUAGUAACGUAAAAACGUUAAUAAGCUGUGAAGAAGGAUAAUUAACUCGAAACGAGUUCUAUUAAUGAAAUAAUUUCAGUUAAGUUAUAGAAGAGAAAGAAGUUGGUAAAAAUAAUGUGAUUAGAUUUUUUGGUAACUAAUUUCAGUGUACUAUGUGAAUAUAUCAUGUAGAUACUGUAAAGGCUGAGAACUGUUGAAUAUUUAUUUGAAGUCGCUUGAAGGUAAGUUUUCUUAACGCUUGUCUAACCUUCGUGUUAGCCAAGUUCUCUGUGAUUCAUGUUAUGAGAUGAAUGAAUUGUUUUACGAAAGGGUCGAUGCCAGUUUUAACUCGGCUAGACUAAUCUUAAGAGUUUGAUUUAUUUAUUUACAAGUCUUUCGAUAUAGUAUUGAUAACGCUAUCAUAUGCCAACUGUUUGGUACGGAUUCAAAGGUAAUCCUGAGUAUUAAUAAACAAAUGUAUUUUUAUCAAUUAUUCGAUGGGCACGUGAGGUUGCCAAAACUUAAACGUAAAUAUGUUUAACGAAUGAGUGUUGAUCAACAUAGAGUACUAUAGACUGAUCAAAUAGAUGUGCUCGUAAGAUAUAUCGGACUUACGGACUAAGUGUCGGGUUGUCCAUUUUAUGAAUUGAAAUCAAAGAGAAUGUUCAUGGUCUUUUAACCUACUCAAAAUUUCUACUCAAUCUCAACCCCAGAACACACACCGGGAGUAACAAUUCCAACCUCGGAGAUAACCCUGAGGCAUGCAGUUCCAACAUCGGAAAUUCCACCGGAGAAGACUGAUUAAUCUCAGAUAUAACCCCGAGGUAUCCAGUCUCAGUCCCAACACUGGGAGUAGCAGCUACCCACCUUGGUGAUAACCCCAAGGAAUGCAGUUCCGGUGAUAACCCCAGAAAUGCUUGUUUCAAAUGCAUGCGAUCAGCUUCAACCUCGACACUCACACUGAGGCACUCAAUACAAAGCCCGGAGAUAACACCGGGAAGACAUGCACACCUCAGAGAUGACACUGAGGACCUCCAACAUUUGCAGCAGUCCAAUCUCAGGGAUAACCCCGAGCAAUGUCUGCUUUAUCAGCCCAAAUCGGCGAUAACUUCGGUGAGGGGCAAAGUAAUCAUCUCGCCACUUUGAAGCCACAUCACGCUGUCUCAACAUCUCAUACAUACAUUUCUACACAACAAUGUCCUAGAAGAAUCAAGGAAAGCCAAUCCCGAGUGACUAUUGUUCAGGGUAACGGAUAGAAUUUGAAGCUUGAAGACCGGAGGGCACCAUCCCAUCUUCAUGACUUCGUACAACCUCUAAUCCCAUGCCAUUGUACAACUCUCGACAACAGCGGUCCGAAAUAGGUCCUACAUACCUCAGUCGGAUGCCCGGAUUGCAAUUCUGAAAGUUUGAGCGGACAUUGCAGUGCCUACGUACACGUACUGUGAGAUGACGCGACCCGCGAAACCCGGGGCAACCCGAACAACCUCAAGUACACCUGCGGCUGGCCGCAGGUACACCUAUGGCUCCCCCCUCUAUAAAUAGAGGGCUAGGGGUGGCCAUUUUAAGGGGAAAAGGCGAGGAAGCCCUGUAAAAUUUGCUCCGUACUUGCAAUAUACUGAGUGUUUUCUCAUUUUAAACACUUGUGAGCUCACAUAUAGCUACUCUUGUACCGGCGGGAGCCGAGUUUCAUCCACUUUAAAGAUAUAAAAGUCUUCUUUGGCAGCCCACUGUAAGCCUUCUCACACACUUUAAAGCCUUUCUCCUCAUCUUUGCACACAUCAUUCUUCACGUUGAGAGUCGUGUUGCGUCUAUUUGCCCGGACUUCGGUCCGUGGUUUUAUUUUAGUUUGUAUAUGCAUACAUAUAUAUAUAUAUAUGUGUAUAUAUAUAUAUAUAUAGACUGGAGCGUUUACUUCUUUAAUAUAUAUACUUAUAUAUAUCAACUGUUGUCGGACUAUGUUCGAUGAGCCUGAAUUUUUACAUCCGGAGCGUUUAUUGCUUUAAUAUAUAUAUAUAUAUAUAUAUAUAUAUAUGAACUGUGUGUCGAACUCUGUUCGAUGAGCCUGGAUUUUAUAUCCGGUGCGUUUAUUGCUUUUAUAUAUAUAUAUAUAUAUAUAUACAUUUCUGUCAGGCCUGGAGUUUACUUCGUGGCCUUUUACAGCUUUAUUUACAUUUCGUCCUGCCUGGAGUUUACUUCGUGGCAGUUGAUCGCUUUUACAGCUUUAUUUAUAUUUCGUCCCACCUGGAGUUUACUUCGUGGUGGUUGAUCAUGUCUAUAUAUAUAUAUUUACCGCUUUUAUAUAUUUACAUUUCCGAUCCCCCAUGGAGUUGCUUCGUGGUUGUUGAUCAUGUCUGUAUAUAUAUAUAUAUAUAUAUAUAUAUAUAUAUAUACAUAUAUAUAUAUAUAUAUAUAUAUAUAUAUUUCGUCCCACCUGGAGUUUACUUCGUGGUGGUUGAUCGCUUUUACAGCUUUAUUUACGUUUCGUCCUGCCUGGAGUUUACUUCGUGGCAGUUGAUCGCUUUGUACAGCUUUAUUUACAUUUUGUCCCGCCUGGAGUUUCCUUCGUGGCGGUUGACCGUAUUUACAGCUUUAUUUACGUUUUGUCCCGCCUGGAGUUUACUCCGUGGCGGUUGAUAGCUUUUACAGCUUUAUUUAUAUUUCGUCCCGCCUGGAGUUUAUUUCAUGGCGGUUGAUCACUUUUACAGCUUUAUUUACGUUUUGUCCCGCCUGGAGUUUCCUCUGUGGUGGUUGAUAGCUUUUACAGCUUAAUUUACAUUUUUGAUCCCCCAAGGAGGUGCUACGUGGUUGGUGAUCCUGUCGGUAUAUAUAUAUAUAUUUACAGCUUUUAUAUAUAUACCUGAUUACUGCUUUUAUUCAAAUUACAGCAUCAUGUGAGCCUAGGAAUCAUGUGAUCAUAGAUUCAAUCUAUUGGAUCUAGAUUCAGUUCCCUUGAUGGACCUUUUUCAGCUAUAAGUAGCUUCUAAAUUUAUCUGCGGUGUCUGAAUUUUCUCAGAUGGUUUUCAUACCCACGAGGAAGUCUGCAUUAUUUUGUACAUUAUUUUCUUAUAGAUGCUUCGCAUUUCGAAAAAAUAAAAAUAAUCAAGUCGAACAGUUAAUAAAAUGGGAGUGUAAAAGGUCUCAAUUACUAUUGAGCACAAGGGUUUGAAAAACCUCUUUUAUAAACCAUCACUGCCAUAUUUUUGUUAAAAUUGAAUUUUUACAUAAAUUCAAACCCUGUGUAUAUAAGUGCGAACGAGGCCUCGCACUACUUCCAAAUAAACAGCAAAUUGAUCCACACACACACAUAUUUAGAUAACAAUUUCUUGAAAGGUGGUGGUCACCGUGGUAACACGGAUGUCGGGGGGNNNNNNNNNNNNNNNNNNNNNNNNNNNNNNNNNNNNNNNNNNNNNNNNNNNNNNNNNNNNNNNNNNNNNNNNNNNNNNNNNNNNNNNNNNNNNNNNNNNNNNNNNNNNNNNNNNNNNNNNNNNNNNNNNNNNNNNNNNNNNNNNNNNNNNNNNNNNNNNNNNNNNNNNNNNNNNNNNNNNNNNNNNNNNNNNNNNNNNNNNNNNNNNNNNNNNNNNNNNNNNNNNNNNNNNNNNNNNNNNNNNNNNNNNNNNNNNNNNNNNNNNNNNNNNNNNNNNNNNNNNNNNNNNNNNNNNNNNNNNNNNNNNNNNNNNNNNNNNNNNNNNNNNNNNNNNNNNNNNNNNNNNNNNNNNNNNNNNNNNNNNNNNNNNNNNNNNNNNNNNNNNNNNNNNNNNNNNNNNNNNNNNNNNNNNNNNNNNNNNNNNNNNNNNNNNNNNNNNNNNNNNNNNNNNNNNNNNNNNNNNNNNNNNNNNNNNNNNNNNNNNNNNNNNNNNCAGUGUCACAUCACUGGGUCAAUGUGCAAACCUUUUCUCGGUUGUGUUGGUACAACCAUUUAAAAAACCAACUGGCGACUCUUAAUAGUCCAUCGUCGACAUUAUACAUGUCAGACCUUUUUCACUUGUUUUUUCAAACAAAUCUCACUUAAAAUGAGAAUACCAAAGAACAAGUAACGAAAAGGAACAACUAAAAAUCCCGACGUCGACAAUUGCAGCUAAGGCCGAACGAACUGAGGGUUCUAAUAAAGAUAAAGGCAAGGAUAAUAUGGAUACGUAGUUUAUCCUGUAAUAGACUAGUUUAUUUAUAUGAAUUAUACUUAUAAACAGUGAAGAAUGUAUUCGGUUUCAGAACCUGGGAAAGGAAUUAUUAUUAUUGUAAUAAUAAUGUAGUUAAUACACUCAUUUUGAUGUUGUUUCAGUAGUACCGUGUAGCACCAUCUGUCGGGUUUAAAGAUACCCGAAUUUGGGGGUGUCAUAGGAGUAGCGCAGCCGUGCUCAAAAUGUUCUGAAAAUGUGCGCGGCCGUGCCCAAAAUUUUUUGUUGAGACGUUCUUUGGUAAAACGGUCAUAACUCUCGUAUCCAAACUCCAAUUGAGGCUAUUCAAGAUGCUAUAGAAAGCUAAGGAGUAGCUCUAAAACUUUCAUUCCUUGAGAAUUGAAGGAUUUUGGCUAGAUAAAGGCUAAAAUUGGGCUUAAAGUGGUUCCUAUGCAAAUGGCAACUCCAAACUUCGAGGUUCAACGUCCGUUAGUAAAAAUGUCAUAACUUUUUAUCCGGGAAGAGUUACGGGAUGUGCCUCCUAUCAAAUCAAAACUCUCGACAAGAUCUACAAAAUUAUCCAAGUUUAACGCUAAGAACAUGCAUUCAACUUAGCCUUAAAACCCCUGCAAUCUCACAUUCUUCCAUUUUGGUUGCAUAUUAUACUCCAAAAGAUGUCCGGAUUGCUUUUCCUUUCUUCUUCAUGCCAAUGUCGUGUCAUAACUUAUAAAAUAACAUAAAAUUUAUGAAAUGAACAUAAAACAACAAAGAUUAACAAUAAUCUAAGUCUAAUGAGAUCCAAUUUGUAGGUAUAAAACUCCUUCGUCAAAUACCCCCAAACUUGAACCAUUGCUUGUCCCCAAGCAAUACAAACACCAAAACAGAAUGAAUACAACUACUCAUUACAUGAAAUAGCAACUCAAGUACGAUUCAAUAAUGAUAACCUUAAACAGCCUCAAAGAUCCUUAACUCAACUAAAAUGAAUGUUUAAAAUCAAGCAUUAGCUAAACUUGAGAUAUCAUUAAUUCAAUUUAUCUCCAACCCACAAUUGUGUGUGUGUAUCAACAUGUCAAUCUUACUAUAAAUCAACCAAAAUUGAAAAUCAUAUGGCUCAAAGACAGAUAAAUGGAUAUAUACAAAAUUCAUUACCACUCUAUAGACUAGAUACCUCGUAUUUCAAAAAUCUUUUAUUAUAUGCUAUUUUUUUAUUUAUUUUCUAAACUCGACCAGUGAAAUGUCUAGUUUUCUUAGGCUUUUCAAUGCUACCCAAGUAACGAGCUUUCAACCAAUACUCCCAAACCAGUCGGUUUUAGGGUACUAAGUGUUAAGACACCCCUACGGAUCUAAUAACUCGAAUCGCAAAGGCUACAAAACUAAACUAGCCAAUUGAUUAUUGAUACUUAUUUAUUUUGACUUAUGCAAUAUUAAUCUUUAUUAGGCUUUCAAAGUUACCCUUGUAGCGAAAUUUCGACUAAUGACUCCAAAGCCAAAUGGCUUUAGGGCGCUAAGUGUAGAGACACUCCUAAGGGCUUACUUGUUAUGUGACGCCCCCAAAAUAGGUAUACAUCGCCCAUUCUGAAUCGUCAAAUACAUGGUACAGAAUACAAAUACAUGGUACAGAAUACAAAUACAAACUUAAAUAUACUACAUGAGCUGUGAGUUUUAAUAAAAAUAUUGUCUUCUAGACAAUAUUCAAACUCAAAAUAAGUCCUCAAUACAUUUAUAAGCACACUAUUUCACAAAAUAGUGAGGACUACUAAUGCAAACAUCUGGACCGUCAUUCUAUUCCCCGACUAGUCCCAGCUAUAUUCUCAUUUCCUGAAGAGAACAAUGAAAGAAAAGGGUGAGCUCAACUAGCCCUGCAAGAAAUAUUAUGACUAAGAUAAUGCAAAAUAUAUUAUCGUUAGCCUUCAACGGUGUUAAACUGAUAAAAUAUAGUAGGCAUCAAUUUUAACUGCAGCGGAACAAGAAAUCCAUUAGAAGAGUCAAGUAGAACAUGAAAUCUACUAUCUUCUAUGAUUUAAAAAGUUUAUCAACAGUUUUAUCGCUGAGACUCAGCUUAAUAAAUUAUCCACAUCAUCGAAUCACCCCUGCACUACGGCCAAGGAUAUUCAUUAGUAUCACGACCACAAAUUAUACAUGCUCUACGGGCCAAGGAUAUUCGAGUUUUCAUCAAUGGUCAUGAUCAUGCCAACAACUGUCCAUCAAUGCACUACGGGCUAAUGAGGACUUUUACCACAUCAUUUGUAACAUUACGAUCAUGAUUAUACCGAAUAAUCUCUUGUCAUAAUCAUACCAAGUCCAUCCAUGCACUACGGCCAAAGAUGACUUUCAUAACAAUAUAAGCAUGAGGAUGAUGACAAUGAUAUAAGAAUUCAAUUAAAAGAAAAUAAAGGAUAAAUUUUAAAGACUUUAAUAUUUAAUUUAUCCAGAAUUCAAUAAUGUCCAAAUUAUCAACAUGAUACUGUUUUUUGGAGUAAAAUUCAAGAAUAAUAUUGUAUCAAAAAUGAUUUGGACUGAAAAGAAAUCAAUUUUUGUCAUGAAUAGUACCCCGGGAGAAUAGUAACCGAGUGCAUAGUACCCCAUGAAUAGUAACUUCGGGAAUAGUAACCCCGUGAAUAGUACCCCAGCAUGAAAAAGUUAUUUAUCAAGAAUGCUCAGAAUAAUAUUUCUAUGAAAAGAUAUUGGAUGAAGCGCAAAUAUCAAGGAUAUUCUACUAAUUUACCAAAACUUUACCAAAAUGAGUGUAGAAUUCGAAAUCUAAAACGAAAUAAUAUUACUUACAUACUACAAAGUAUUAAAGAAAAUAUUAUUUCAUAUGAAUAUUGAACAAAAAUAACAUCCCUUACCUUAAAAAGAAGAGUAUUCCAACUGGUAUAGCGAUGAUAUUCUUGAAUAAAACUUUCACUGUUUUCUACACUCAAAGCUUUCUAAAACUCGGAAAGAAAUAGCGCAAUAUUAUAGAAGAUGAAUUUUUAGAUCCUGGUCUGAUUUUCAAUUCUAACUAAGCAUCCUAUUUAUAGGAGAAUGGAAAGGAUACUAUUUGAAAAUUAAAAUCACGGACCAAAGAGUUGCAACUCACAGAAAUUUUCUGAUUUCAUAUAAGUUUACUAUGCAAACACUAUGCAGGCACUAUACAAACACUAUGCAUAAUAAAAUAUAAUAUAUUCUAUUUUUCAUAAAAAAAAAUAAAACUAAUAAAACCAAACAUCGCUAUUAAAAAAAUCACCCGUGAAUACAAAUUUUCUCCCUUGACAAAUUUAAUUUUCCAAUAUAUGGGCCCCACAUGUGGGCCCCCACCUAUUAUAUAUAUAUAUAUAUAUAUAUAUAUAUAUAUAUAUAUAUAUAUAUAUACCGAAUAACUUUCUACCGAUUAUUUUAAAAAAUGGGUAAAUGGGGGUCUAAAUAAUACGCCCAUAUUUACAACAAAUACUUCAUAAAAAUCACCUCAAUAUUUUUAACAAUAUUUAUCAUCAUUAUUAUAAUUUACAAUAUUUAACAAUCAGGUCGUUCCUAGGAAAGAGGGGGCUUUUCAAUAAGGAUUUCUCCCUAUUGGCGCGCAAUUAGGUGACCAAACCUCUCCUUGACAGAACUUCUAGACAUCGUCAAUAUUGUAAAUAAUAAUAUUAAUAACUUUGUCGUCUCAAUUAUUGAUUUAAUAAUAUAAAAUAUUAUGCAGAUGAUAUUGUGAUAAUAAUUGAAUCAAUAAUAUGAGAGAUAUGAUGCAGCAAUUACUGUAGCAAUAAUUGAGUAUAACUGAGUGACUUCUCACAUAAGCAUCAAUAAUCAAUACUGUGUGCUACUAUGCAACCACGCGUAUUACUGUACUUUUAACACCGGUUAUUUCAACAGUUAACGGUAAAACUUCCGCCGUUAUUUUUAUAAAAAGAUAUUUUUGU